rnacentral:piRNA from 1 species
UCGGAGCCAGGCUGCGCACCGGCGC